GAAAAAGCUUGUUUAAAUAAUCAGGAUGAUUAAUUGGUUAAUAGUCAUGUAUCCCCAAGUGACUUCUGUAUUUUGGCUGUUGGUAAUUUGUAUGAAAAUUUCUGAAAACUGUGUUUACCGAACUAUACACCAGAAUUUGGAGUUCAUCCGUGAGAAGCCUCUUUCCCUGAAUGGAGUUCCUGCACUGUGAGAUCUGCCUGCUGCUGUUACCCAGGAGGAACUUGAUCUUCCACUGGAUGGGAUGGUCCGAGCCCCUCACCUCCAGGGUCCGAUCACGGAUGGUUCGCUCCUCCUGUACACAGUACAUGUCAUACAAAAUGUCAUUUCCUUGCCAUUAUAUGCUUCAUCACCUCUCAGCAUAUCGCUGAUCAUUAGUGUUGUAUUGGUAUCAUCAAUCCAAUUAGAACAAUAUUGGAUACCUUGUCAGAAACAGAGCACUUUAUUUCAAAUUUUCUUCACGUCAAUAUUGUUUAAAAUGUGUUUGUUUAAAAUUGUGCUUAACGGUUCACCAUUAAACAGUUAAAUUAUGUUUUAUGUGUAAUUGGAAUAAAAUGUCAAAUGGUCAAAA